AUUCCAGCUCCAAUAGCGUAUAUUAAUGUUGUUGCAGUUAAAAAGCUCGUAGUUGGAUUUCUGGUGGGAGCGGCCGGUCCGCCGUAAGGUGUGUACUUGGUUGUCUCCUGUCAUCCUUGUGGGAACUGCUCUGGCAUUAAGUUGUCGGGGUUAGGGAACACAUCGUUUACUGUGAAAAAAUUAGAGUGUUUAAAGCAGGCUUAUGCCGUUGAAUACAUUAGCAUGGAAUAAUAAGAUAGGACUUUGGCGUCUAUUUAGUUGGUUUGCACACCAAGGUAAUGAUUAAUAGGGAUAGUUGGGGGUAUUCGUAUUUAACUGUCAGAGGUGAAAUUCUUGGAUUUGUUAAAGACGGCCUACUGCGAAAGCAUCUGCCAUGGAUGUUUUCAUCG
rnacentral:rRNA from 1 species